rnacentral:rRNA from 1 species
GACGAACGCUGGCGGCGUGCCUAAUACAUGCAAGUUGAGCGCUGAAGGUUGGUACUUGUACCAACUGGAUGAGCAGCGAACGGGUGAGUAACGCGUGGGGAAUCUGCCUUUGAGCGGGGGACAACAUUUGGAAACGAAUGCUAAUACCGCAUAAAAACUUUAAACACAAGUUUUAAGUUUGAAAGAUGCAAUUGCAUCACUCAAAGAUGAUCCCGCGUUGUAUUAGCUAGUUGGUGAGGUAAAGGCUCACCAAGGCGAUGAUACAUAGCCGACCUGAGAGGGUGAUCGGCCACAUUGGGACUGAGACACGGCCCAAACUCCUACGGGAGGCAGCAAUAGGGAAUCUUCGGCAAUGGACGAAAGUCUGACCGAGCAACGCCGCGUGAGUGAAGAAGGUUUUCGGAUCGUAAAACUCUGUUGGUAGAGAAGAACGUUGGUGAGAGUGGAAAGCUCAUCAAGUGACGGUAACUACCCAGAAAGGGACGGCUAACUACGU